rnacentral:rRNA from 1 species
UACGUAGGGUGCAAGCGUUGUCCGGAAUUAUUGGGCGUAAAGAGCUCGUAGGCGGUUUGUCGCGUCUGCUGUGAAAUCCCAGGGCUUAACCCUGGGCCUGCAGUGGGUACGGGCAAACUAGAGUGCGGUAGGGGAGAUCGGAAUUCCUGGUGUAGCGGUGAAAUGCGCAGAUAUCAGGAGGAACACCGAUGGCGAAGGCAGGUCUCUGGGCAUUAACUGACGCUGAGGAGCGAAAGCAUGGGGAGCGAACAGG